CGCGGCCUAUCAGCUUGUUGGUGAGGUAACGGCUCACCAAGGCAUUGACGGGUAGCUGGUCUGAGAGGACGAUCAGCCACACUGGGACUGAGACACGGCCCAGACUCCUACGGGAGGCAGCAGCAGGGAAUUUUGCACAAUGAGCGCAAGCUUGAUGCAGCGACGCCGCGUGGGGGAUGAAUGCCUUCGGGUUGUAAGCCCCUUUCAGGAGGGACGAAGCGAAAGUGACGGUACCUCCAGAAGAAGCCCCGGCCAACUACGUGCCAGCAGCCGCGGUAAUACGUAGGGGGCGAGCGUUGUCCGGAUUUAUUGGGCGUAAAGAGCUCGUAGGCGGCUCAGCAAGUCGGCCGUGAAAACCCGGGGCCCAACCCCGGGACGCCGGUCGAAACUGCUGUGGCUAGGGUCCGGUAGAGGAGAGUGGAAUUCCCGGUGUAGCGGUGAAAUGCGCAGAUAUCGGGAGGAACACCAGUAGCGAAGGCGGCUCUCUGGGCCGGCACCGACGCUGAGGAGCGAAAGCUAGGGGAGCAAACAGGAUUAGAUACCCUGGUAGUCCUAGCCGUAAACGUUGGGUACUAGGUGUGGCGGAGUCAUUGACCUCUGCCGUGCCGAAGCUAACGCAUUAAGUACCCCGCCUGGGGAGUACGG
rnacentral:rRNA from 1 species